rnacentral:rRNA from 1 species
AUGAAAUUGAUGGAUGCAACUCCGUGCAAUGUAAAUAGUGAUUUUUGUGCUGUCAAUCCAAAGGGUGCAGGUGAUAAGCUGUAUCCUUCAUGUCAACAGAAUGUUAAUGUGGAGAAGGAAUUCAACAGUUCACAAUACUUCACUAGCACAGGAAGUGAUAAUGAGACAACAAGUAGCAAAUGCCCGGUGAUUCCUCCAGAGGAACAUAAGCAGUCUGAAACAAUGGCUUCCAUUCUUGCAAAGAGAUUGGAUACGCUUAGACAUGCGAAGACCUCUACAAUUAGGUUGGCUAUCUCCAGUGGAAUAUCUAAAGACCAUAAUCACAGAAAGAGUCCUUUUUUAUUAAUUACAGCAGACAUGAUGGACUAG